rnacentral:rRNA from 1 species
CCUACGGGUGGCUGCAGUGGGGAAUAUUGGACAAUGGGGGCAACCCUGAUCCAGCCAUGCCGCGUGUGUGAAGAAGGCCCUCGGGUUGUAAAGCACUUUCAGUGAGGAAGAACGCCUGGUGGUUAAUACCCAUCAGGAAAGACAUCACUCACAGAAGAAGCACCGGCUAACUCCGUGCCAGCAGCCGCGGUAAUACGGAGGGUGCGAGCGUUAAUCGGAAUUACUGGGCGUAAAGCGCGCGUAGGUGGCUUGAUAAGCCGGUUGUGAAAGCCCCGGGCUCAACCUGGGAACGGCAUCCGGAACGGUAAGGUGGAGGGCGAGGAGAGGAGGGGAAAGGCCGCGGGGCAGCGGGGGGGUGGGCAGCGGCCGGGAGAAAGGGCAGUGGCGAGGGGGGCUUACGGGAGGGCCACGGCCAUUGGGGUGGGACGGCUUGGGUACGAAACCGCGUACAGGCGCGUUCCGGUC